rnacentral:sRNA from 1 species
UGUUAGGAACUUCUGGCAGGGUUGGUCCUGAGCAAGACUGUAAAGCAGCUCAGUUGAAACUUCAGUGUCUUUUUCUGCUCUCACCUUUCCCAUUUGGAGGCGACUCCCCUCAGCUGCUUUCCUUUCUCUGUCCUCUGCACCUGCCUUGCUGCCCCUAGAGCUCCAGAACUUUCAGAAAUUUUCUGCCUACUCCCUGGCAAAAUCUAUUUUUUCUAAAAAUUGUCCCCAGGGCCAAGAUGCCCAAAGUGACUCUGAUUAGCAAAGUCAUGAUCUGGGGAUAAAAACAAUGACUUUUCAUUCCUCUUCCCAAAUAAAAACUACCUUUGACCACAGAGGUCAAAGGGCCCUUACUGAGUCCCAUGUGGAGGUCACAGGCAGUGGGGUGAUAGUUUCAGUAGUGCUUACAAAACUCCACAGAAUCCUCUUUCGCCCAUCAGAUCUCAUAGCUGUACCCAGUUUAGCUCAGGCCUGAGGAUGCAUAAUAAUUCAGAGCUCUGAUGGCAGGUGGCUUCCAUCUCAGGACUGCCUGGAAGCUUGCUGAGAAGGAACUUGAGACCAUUGUCACACACAGGGAGAAAAGCACUGGAAUGGACUAGAAGUCUGCCUGGGGAAACAUGUGGCAUGCACUUACAGAGUGUUACAUGUCUGUCAUCCUUGAGGAGUCAUUGUGGACUCUCAAGGGUCCAUGAUAGGCAUCCACUUGCCUCUCUAGCCUGAAGAAUGUCAUCUGCAGCCUUGCUCCUCAAAGUGGGAACCUUGCUUUUCAAAGCAGGGUCUUCAGAACAGCAGCAUCAGCAUCACACCGGAGCUCAUUAAAAAUACAGACUCUCAGCCCCACCCCUUUCCCCCACACUACCCAAUCAGAUUCUGCAUUUUAACAAGAUUCCCAGGGGAUUUGUAUGCACAUAAACAAUGGAGACGGCUAGGAGAGGUGGCGCAUGUCUGUAAUCCCAGCACUUUGGGAGGCCGAGGUAGGAGAAGCUUGAGCCCAGGAGUUCGAGACCAGCUUGGGCAACAUAAUGAGACCUUGUCUGUACAGAAAAAAAAAAAAAAAAAAAAAAAAUGCCCUGUGUGGUGGGGAGUACCUCUAGUCCCAGCUGCUGCUCAGGAGGCUGAGGUGGGAGGAUUGCUUGAGCCUGUGAAAUGGAGCCUGCAGUGAGCCGUAAGCAUGCCACUACACUCCAGCCUGGGUGACAGAAUGAGACCCUGUCUCAAAAAACAAUCAAAAAACAUUGGAGACACAGGGGUCUACUGGGUCUUCCUGCUGGUUGUCCCUCCUGAAGGUCCUCACUGGAGAACAAGCUUUGUGGGCCCGGCUUCUUCUACCUGCGCCUCCACAUCUUAUACCAAUCAAUAGGGGUAGGACUAGGUCCAAUGCGGAUGGGGACAUUCCCUUCAGCCCGCAUUUGGGAGGUUUAAUGAUAGGUCUAUUGUGUGCCAUACUGUUUUUCUGUCUUACCACCAUGUCGCUUCUGUCCCCAGGCAAUCUAUAAGAUGGUUUCCUCCGUAAUGAAAAUGCCUGAAGAUGAGUCAACCCCAGAGAAAAGAACAGAAAAGAUCUUCCGCCAGAUGGACACCAAUAGAGACGGAAAACUCUCCCUGGAAGAGUUCAUCCGAGGAGCCAAAAGCGACCCAUCCAUUGUGCGCCUCCUGCAGUGCGACCCGAGCAGUGCCGGCCAGUUCUGAGCCCUGCGCCCACCAAUCGAAUUGUAGAGCUGCUUGUGUUCCCUUUUGAUUCUUCUUUUUAACAAUUUUUUUUUUUUUUGCCAAACAAUAUCAAUGGUGAUGCUGUCCCCUGUGCGGUCUGAUGCGCCUUCCUCCGUGACGCCUUCAGCUUCUUUUGUCAUGGAUGCUUCGUGGGAAUGCCCAGAGCCCCAGUGUGCUUGUGGAGAGCAUGGACAGACUUCGUGGUGUUCAUUGUUUGAUGAUUUUUAAUCGUUACUAUUUUUUUUUUAUUCUAAUGUCUCUGUUCUAAAACGUAAGACUCGGGGGUUGGGGCAAAAGAAGGGAAACCCAUCCAGUCCUGUGAUUCUAUUGCAAGCUUCAAGGGGCUUUUGUUUGAAAGACAAAACUCCCCACCUGGGUCUGUUGUCACACGUGCAGUAGGGGUGAUGGAUGGCACCGGAUGCUGGAUUCCCCAAGAACAAGUUACCCUCUGGGGUGAGGCUAUUCCAGCGAGCUGGGACAUUUCCCCAUGGGGGCCCACUCCCCUCUCUUCCCCAGCAGGCUGUAGUUUCUAAGCUGUGAACAUUUCAAGAUAAAUUAACAGAGGAGAGGAAAAAGAUGGCUCAGCUAUUUUUUCACAGGUUUACACUAGUUGAGCUAAUAUGCGUGUCUUUGGAAAUUAAACACAAAUGAUAACAUAUUCCAAAACCAGACCCAUCUUGUUGCCUAUUGUGAUAAAAUAAAAAGACGGCUGUAUAUAACAUAUUGGGUAAUGCAGACCAAAUUAAGUGUUUUGCCUUGUUUAAAUGAAAUGCAUGUUUAGUGAGCACUAAUACAAUCUUAUUCCAG